AGUGAACGUUGGCGGCGUGGAUUAGGCAUGCAAGUCGAGCGAGAACCGUAGCAAUACGGGGACAGCGGCGAACGGGACAGUAAUGUGUAGGUACCUACCCCUGGGACCGGGAUAGCUGCGGGAAACUGCAGGUAAUACCGAAUAAUGUCUCCGGACCAAAGGUGUGAUUCCACCUGGGGAGGGGCCUGCAUCCUAUCAGCUUGUUGGCGGGGUAACGGCCCACCAAGGCAACGAUGGGUAGCGGGUGUGAGAGCACGACCCGCGUCAUUGGGACUGAGAUACUGCCCAGACACCUACGGGUGGCUGCAGUCGAGGAUCUUCGGCAAUGGGCGAAAGCCUGACCGAGCGACGCCGCGUGCGGGAUGAAGGCCUUCGGGUUGUAAACCGCUGUCGUAGAGGAGGAAAUGCAGGGGGGUUCUCCCCUUUGCUUGACCUAUUCUAGGAGGAAGUACGGGCUAAGUUCGUGCCAGCAGCCGCCGUAA
rnacentral:rRNA from 1 species